UCAAUAUGCAGAUAAUCUGAUAAUCAAUUUAUCAGGCUAUAUUUGCGUGUUUAAGAAGUGUCUUCUUUGUUUCACCAGCACACACAAGAUGACUUGAUAAGUUCGGGUCAAAGUUAUUAACGUCGGUUCAAACAUUAUGACGUCGCUGAUAUGUCCGGGUCAAAGUUAAUAAGGCCGGGUCAAUGUAUUUGACGUCACAAAGACAUGAUACGGAAUAAUAUUAAGAGCUGAACAGAGUGAUAUAGACAGUGGGACGACCGAUAAGACAUAUGUAAAACAAUUCAAACGAGAAAACUUGAGAUAUGUGCAUUGUUCAUCAUGUUCAUAUUGUAUAUGAAGAUUAAUAAGAUUAAAGUAAACAAUGUGGUAUGUUUCCAAAAUAAAAGCUAUCCACCAAUGACCAACUGAUGUCGAUGCAAUUACUAGCCAUACAAAUGAUACAUACAUGUUGGUCACCAUACUUCCUUCAUUUAUAUUAUGACUAUUGAGUAAAUUUUUGCAAACAUGGCAAACCUGUACAUGUACAUGCUGUUUAUAUACAUAUUACUACAGUUCAAUGACUCAAGUUUUAAAUGCAUAAGCUUAAGGUCAUAACAGAAUUUAAACUAACUAUCAUAAUUGUAUGAACAUCAUGAUGAAUAUUUACAUUCUCUCAAAGAGUUUUAAUUUUACUUAGCUAAUACAGAAGAUGAUGGAUUCCCCAACAGAAAUCUUGAUGAUCGAACGAUUAAGGUGAAAAAAUUGAAGAAUUGCAUCAAUUAUUACAGAGAAUUGAUUUGCAAGCAGAAACAGGUGCUCAAAGAUAAGGGAAUACAACAGCCAUCCAUGAUCCUUUACAUGUAAAGUUAGUAGCUGUUCAUGAUGCUUAUAGGCAAAUACAAUCUAGUCUGGGCAUGUAAAACAGCAGCUGGUUCUAUUUUGAAAAUCUACAAAAUAGAGCUAAGGUCCUUUAAGCCAAGAAACUGCUAGUGUCUGAAGAGGACAAUUUAAG